CAAAUCCUUUGCAGUUGAUGUCUGCCUGAUGUCUGGAAACCACAGACAUCACCAGACGCUGAGUUCCUUCCCUGUUGAUGCUCUGCCAGGCUUUUACCGCAGCUCUCUUCAGAUCUACCACUAGGAACUAGACAGGAAUGUGGUGCAAUAAGUCCAUGGGGCUGGUUGGAUAGAACAUGUACAGAAGCCAUUACCUUUAUAUGCUUUGAUGACAGAAAGAAUGGUAAUGACAGGUACACAUUUCACAUUUCUAAUCUGCCGACGUGGCAUAAUGCUCAGCGCUACUGCAGAGAGAAACACACAGACCUGGCCAGCUCAAGAGACGAAACUGAAAACUCAAUUAUAACGGGAAUGACCACUAACUUAGGCAACCGGGUUUGGCCUCUUCAGGGACUCCUGGAAGUGGUCAGACAACACGACCUUGUCCUCCAUUACGUGGAUGCCUGGAAAACCUGAUAAUAACCUGAAGAUUGAAAACUGUGCUCACUUGAAUAAUAAUCAAGCCAUUGAUGCUCUAUGCUCAGACAUAAAGCCUUUCUUCUGUUAUGCAAUAAUCAGGAAAAACUGAAUCAUAAGACUGAAGGUCCUGUCUGAUCAGUAUGCAAACAAUUCUGUAGUAAAGACAGCCAUCUUGGAGAAGGUGUGUCAUAUCUUCUUUAAUAUAUGACGUACAAUCCCAUCUUCAUUAACGCCAUCAUAACAUCAAGCAGAAAAUGAAGGAUCAUGAGAUAGAAGGGAAUACCAUGGUGAAAUGGAGAGAGCAUCCAGGUGGAGUGGUGUUUUACAAGGAGAAAGCAAAUAAUCUCUUGUGGCAUUACAGAUUAGAAGAGGAGACAUUUUGGGAGAUGGGAGGAAAUUGGAGAACCCAGAAGAUUACUCAUGUGGACACAGGAAGAAACCUGAAACACCACGUAGACAGUAACCCAACCUCAGGAUUGAACCUGGGAUUCUGGCGCUGUACCAUCGGGGCACAAUAUUGAUAAGCUAAAGCCGAUUUAAUCUCAUAAGUCACAAAUUAAUGUUAUCAUAUAGACAAAGUAAUUGUAUGUAACCUGUACAAUUUGGCUUGUAUGAAACUUGAAUGUGGGUUACUGUAGGAAUUACAGUAGCUUUUAGACUCAUUCUGUAUUGAAUUAAACAAAUUAAAACUAGCAGGUACAUUUCAUUUGUUAAACUGAAAUGAAUCCAUUAGUACAA